UACGGGGGGGGCAAGCGUUGUUCGGAAUUACUGGGCGUAAAGGGCUCGUAGGCGGCCAACUAAGUCGGACGUGAAAUCCCUCGGCUUAACCGGGGAACUGCGUCCGAUACUGGAUGGCUUGAGUUCGGGAGAGGGAUGCGGAAUUCCAGGUGUAGCGGUGAAAUGCGUAGAUAUCUGGAGGAACACCGGUGGCGAAGGCGGCAUCCUGGACCGAUACUGACGCUGAUGAGCGAAAGCCAGGGGAGCAAACGGGG
rnacentral:rRNA from 1 species